rnacentral:rRNA from 1 species
AACGAACGCUGGCGGCAGGCUUAACACAUGCAAGUCGAACGGUAACAGGCCGCAAGGUGCUGACGAGUGGCGAACGGGUGAGUAAUGCAUCGGAACGUGCCCAGUCGUGGGGGAUAACGCAGCGAAAGCUGCGCUAAUACCGCAUACGAUCUAUGGAUGAAAGCGGGGGACCGUAAGGCCUCGCGCGAUUGGAGCGGCCGAUGUCAGAUUAGGUAGUUGGUGGGGUAAAGGCUCACCAAGCCAACGAUCUGUAGCUGGUCUGAGAGGACGACCAGCCACACUGGGACUGAGACACGGGCCAGACUCCUACGGGAGGCAGCAGUGGGGAAUUUUGGACAAUGGGCGCAAUCCUGAUCCAGCAAUGCCGCGUGCAGGAAGAAGGCCUUCGGGUUGUAAACUGCUUUUGUACGGAACGAAACGGCCCUGGUUAAUACCCGGGGCUAAUGACGGUACCGUAAGAAUAAGCACCGGCUAACUACGUGCCAGCCGCCGCGGUAA